rnacentral:rRNA from 1 species
GAUGAACGCUGGCGGCGUGCUUAACACAUGCAAGUCGAACGAAGCGCUUUACCGGAUUUCUUCGGAAUGAAAGUUUUGUGACUGAGUGGCGGACGGGUGAGUAACGCGUGGGUAACCUGCCUCAUACAGGGGGAUAACAGUUAGAAAUGACUGCUAAUACCGCAUAAGACCACAGGACCGCAUGGCCCAGUGGUAAAAACUCCGGUGGUAUGAGAUGGACCCGCGUCUGAUUAGCUAGUUGGUAAGGUAACGGCUUACCAAGGCGACGAUCAGUAGCCGACCUGAGAGGGUGACCGGCCACAUUGGGACUGAGACACGGCCCAAACUCCUACGGGAGGCAGCAGUGGGGAAUAUUGCACAAUGGGGGAAACCCUGAUGCAGCGACGCCGCGUGAGCGAUGAAGUAUUUCGGUAUGUAAAGCUCUAUCAGCAGGGAAGAAAAUGACGGUACCUKACWAGA